rnacentral:lncRNA from 1 species
CUUCGAACAUUAGGUGCUACUUGGUCUCCAGGUUUAUAAAAAUUACUUUAACAAAAUCAUGGUUCUAUACAAAUAUGUUUCGCUAAAACUAGUUUUAAUAGCUUUAGUGUUUGGUGAUAGAAAUUGGUAUUAAACAAGAUUGAGGAGAAUCCAUCUAAAUCCAAAUUCUAGAUGCAGUAUCUCCCUUCAAAGAAGAUACGGGUGCAGGUACUGAAGUAUGGUCGUACCAUCAGUCUGC